GACGAAGGGAGCGAGCGUUGUUCGGAAUCACUGGGCUUAAAGGGCGCGUAGGCGGCCUUGUAUGUCGGUUGUGAAAUCCCUGAGCUCAACUCAGGAAUUGCUUCCGAAACUGCAAGGCUUGAGGCAUUCUGGGGGCGACUGGAACUCUUGGUGGAGCGGUGAAAUGCGUAGAUAUCAAGAGGAACGCCGGUGGUGAAGACGGGUCGCUGGGAAUGUCCUGACGCUGAGGCGCGAAAGCUAGGGGAGCAAACGGGAUUAGAUACCCCGGUAGUCCUAGCCGUAAACGAUGUGCACUAGGCUGCGGAAGUUCUGACACUUUCGCGGCCGGAGCAAAAGUGUUAAGUGCACCGCCUGGGGAGUACGGUCGCAAGGCUAAA
rnacentral:rRNA from 1 species